rnacentral:misc_RNA from 1 species
GAUGAAGAACGUAGCGAAAUGCGAUAAGUAGUGUGAAUUGCAGAAUUCAGUGAAUCAUCGAAUCUUUGAACGCACAUUGCGCCCCUUGGUAUUCCAUGGGGCAUGCCUGUUCGAGCGUCAUUUGCACCUUCACGCUCUGCUUGGUGUUGGGUGUUUGUCUCGCCUCUGCGUGUAGACUCGCCUUAAAACAAUUGGCAGCCGGCGUAUUGAUUUCGGAGCGCAGUACAUCUCGCGCUUUGCACUCAUAACGACGACGUCCAAAAGUACAUUUUUACACUCUUGACCUCGGAUCAGGUAGGGAUACCCGCUGAACUUAAGCAUAUCAAUAAGCGGAGGA